CUAACUACGUGCCAGCAGCCGCGGUAAUACGUAGGGGUGCAAGCGUUAAUCGGAAUUACUGGGCGUAAAGCGUGCGCAGGCGGACUUUUAAGCCAGAUGUGAAAGCCCCGAGCUUAACUUGGGAAUUGCGUUUGGAACUGGGAGUCUAGAGUCUGUCAGAGGGGGAUGGAAUUCCACGUGUAGCAGUGAAAUGCGUAGAGAUGUGGAGGAACACCGAUGGCGAAGGCAGUCCCCUGGGAUAAGACUGACGCUCAUGCACGAAAGCGUGGGGAGCAAACAGGAUUAGAUACCCUGGUAGUCCACGCCCUAAACGAUGUCUACUAGUUGUUGGGGUAGCAAUACCUCAGUGACGCAGCUAACGCGUGAAGUAGACCGCCUGGGGAGUACGGUCGCAAGAUUAAAACUCAAAGGAAUUGACGGGGG
rnacentral:rRNA from 1 species